rnacentral:lncRNA from 1 species
AUUGAUCAGAUUCCUUUCAUCGAUACUCCACUUCACAUAGCAGCAAAUGAAGGCCAAAUUAAUUUUGCAAUGGAGAUGAUGAACUUGAAGCCUUCAUCUGCUCGGAAGCUGAACCAAGACGGGUUUAGCCCCAUGCGCUUGGCGUUCAGAAAUGGGCACCCCAAGCUAAUGCUUCGAGUACUGUUGAAAAUGGAUAAAGAUCUGGUUCGCGUCACAGUGGGGAACUCUAAACUUUUAUUCCAGUUCCUUGAAGCUUGCCCUGAAUGCAUGGAAGAUGUGACGGUUCGAAACGAGACUGCAUUACAUCUUGCUUCGAAAAACGACCACAUCGGAGCUUUGAAUCUCUUGAUUGGAUGGCUUCAAAGGAACUGUCGUGGAGGAGCCUUUUAUUUGUCAGAAAAGGUUGUGAAUUGGAGAGAUGGAUAUGACAACACCGUGUUGCACAUUACAGCUAAAAAGGAACAACAUGAGGUAUCUGCAAUGCAACUAUAUUAUCGUUUACUUUGCGGUUUGAAUUUCUUUUUGCUGCCGGUAUUUAUCUGAUUGUGAUAAGUCGGAUUCUAAAAUUCCUUUUGGUAGUAUUUGUAAGAGGAAUUUGGAUUUGAAUUUCUGUUUUAUAAAUUCAUUAUUUCUAAUUUUUUUUUGUUUAGAAAUUAAAAUAUUUGAUAUUUAAAUUUUUUGUUUAGAUGACUCAAAUUUAGAUCUGAGAUUCAACAACUUAAAUUUUUUUAAACUUCAUUAUUAAGGAGGAUUUUGAAUAAAAUUGUCUGAACCCGACCAGUUAGACCGGAAACUAAUCAAUGUAUUGAUCCAAAGAAAGACAUUAAGUCGAUUGAAUUGGACAAAAAACCCCUUGAUCAAGUGGUUAAAACAGACAUUUUUAUUUUACGAACCUUUAAUGAUUUAUUUAAUAAAACUGAACUGAUCGGUUGAACUAUCAAUUUGAUCAUUAGUUUUCAUAACAAAGUGGAAAAAGUAUUUUAUUCAUUCAAAAUCUAGGUUUUCAGAACCAAACUAUAGUGGUCAAACCUAUCAAACUGAUUGCUUUUUCCCACUUUGUUUCAUUAAAUCAAGGUUUUCAAAAUAAGUAGUUUGAUCGGUUUGACUAUUAAUUUGAUUAUGAAAACCUUGAUCUUGAAUGAAUAAAAUGAUUUUUCCACUUUGUUAGGAACAGUUUAGGCUAAAACUAAUUGAUUUUUGUAUAUUAUUUGAAAGAGGUUUUUUUUUUUUUUUUUCUGUUUUUAUAUAUUUUAUAAGUUUUUGGGUUAAAAUAUUAGAAAGGACUCUCAAUUUUAUUGUAUUAUUUAUACUUUGUUUACACUUAAAUAAAAUCAUAUAAUUUGAUUUGUACUUAAAUAAAUGGACUUAGAUGUAAAUUAAGAGUCGAGGGUUUAUAAAUUAAAAUCGUGAAAAUUAUGGUAUAAAUGAAAAUUUUAAAUAUUUGUACUGUAUUAAAUUAAAUGCAUUAAGCUUCGUCACUGUUUUCAAAAUUGGACUGGCUUGUCAAAUCGAUUGGAUCGUGAACCAACCGGGAUACCAAUCCAGAAUAAAGAGUCACACCAGUUGAACCGAUCGGAUCAGUCGAUCGGAUUAGUCAAACUGGUCGGAUAAAUCAACGAUCGAAUAGAUUGAACAAAUUUUCUCUAUUUUUUAAUAUUUUUAAUAAUUUAUUAAUUAAAUUGGUCGAAUCGAUUGAAACAGGAACCUGUGGUCUAACUGAUUCGCUCAUCAUUCUGGUUCUAAAAACCUUGAAUUUUGUUGAUGAUAUAUUUUAAGUAAAAUUAAUUAUUUAUUAUUUAGGUGUAAAGGUAGUGUCAAAGAAGAGGCUACAAAAAAAUUUGUUUUUUUAAUAAAUUUAAGUUUUAAAAAUUUCAAAUUUUAAAAUCCACAAAUUUAACUCGGAUUUGCACGAACUCAAAUCCAAUUUUUUUUUUUUGUUAUGAAAUUAGAUUUACGUUUCCAAAGAGUGGAUUUGAUAAUUGUAUUAAUUAUGCAGGCACUGAAGCUGUUGUUAUAUACCAAUGUUGGGUUACAUGUAACAGCUAAGAACUCGGAAGGUUUGAUGGCUCGAGAAAUCAUAGAAAAUGUUGAAAGAAAAGGCUUGAACAUGAGUGGUGAAGAUGAUGACACUGCCGACAAGAUUAAGCGCAUUAAGAAAAAACUUGAUACCCUAGAACUAAUAUUAAUAGUGUUAAUUCGUGCAAGGAAUGGAUUGUCGGAGAACAUGAUCAACGCAACGCUGGUGACUGUGGCACUGGUUAUAACAGCAGUCGACCAAUCAUCUUUCAGCCCACCCAGAGGUGUUUGGCAAGUUGAUAACAACAGUAUCCCCACCACCACCUCAAACGUUACUACUACUGCUCUUCAAAUCUUUGACGACAAUUACAAUAACUCCAGAUUCAAACACCUGUUGGGUCAAGAAUCAAGGAAAACAGGUACAACAAUCAUGAAUCCCGACUUGUAUUCAAUGUUUUGGGUUUGUAAUCUCCUGACAUUUGAGCUUCCGCUCCUCUCCAAUGUUCCUUCUUUUCUUCUCAUCCCGCUUUAUUAUCUAAGCGUCUCCUACUUUUACUCGAUGACACUAAUAUCCCCGUCGUCGUUCUGGGAAAACGUCAAUUAUAUUCUCACGUGGUUAGCCAUUCUUCUCCCACUUUGCUUACUUCGCUUAAUCAUACGACCACUUAUGACACCAGCUUACAAGGAGUACAUACGCUUACGUAGAGCUGUUACUAGAGCUAUUCUUAGAGCCAACAAUAGCGGGAUCAUCAAACCCUUGCUAAGGGGUAAUCUAGUUGAUAUUAUAAUAUUAUGUCCUUAGAUUUUUUUUAAUUGAACUUCAUUUUCUUUUUGUUUAUGUAAUUGCUUGGGAUAAAUUUAAUAAAUAAAAUUACUUUGGUUAAACUACAUCAAUAGUCUUUUAAUUUUGUUUAUAUUUAUGUUUAAUCACUUAAAUUUUAAAACUUAUAAAUUUAUUAUUAAUGUUAUCGGAUUGUUAUUAGGAUAACACAGGUUUGAUGUGAAACGUUAAAUAUGCCAUAUGUUUAAAAAAAUUUCCUUUCUCUCCUUUUUCGGAUAUUAAAAUAUUUCUUCUUUUCACCUUAUCCUCUCUUCCCCUUCUUCUUUCUCCACCAUUAAUGGUCUCACCAUCUUACUACUGCCAGUACUCACCACUAUCAACAAUUUCACCAUCUCACCACAACCAUACAUGAACCAACAACCGACUUUACCCAUAAUAAUACUCAUAAGGUGUUUUUCUCUUCCCUUUAUGAACAUAAUUGGUUCGAUUUUUUGGUUCAAAGAAGGUUCAAACAAUCAACACUCAAACAGUCAAUAGACUGUGGGAAAGAUAACGUGCAAAACCAACCUAACCUAUGAGUAUAUCCAGAAGAGAAAAAUUAUACAAGUCCAACCCCCCAAGAAGUUCCCAGUCGGCUCAUCCCAUUGACCUUUCCACACCUUCGAAUUGAUUGGUGCAAUUGGAAUUGCAUUGCCAAAUGUAAUACAUGAAGCUCAAGUGCUGACCAUCUACUAGAGGUGGACCAAGUAAAGACCAAUCCAGUGUUGAUUCUCCAAGGCCCUCGAAGAGCCACCAACGCUGACAUCGCCUCCAGACUUGAUUGUUAUUAUUAUAUUCUUUUCAAAUUAUUUUAGUUGUUGUUUAGCAUGGAUCGUGACUAAUUUUUAUUAUGUAAACAAGUUUCGAAAAUUUUAUAUAAUUGAGAGACUUGUAUGGAUGAUUAUAUUGAAUUUAGAGAGCAGUUAAAUUAUUCAAGUGAAAAACGUUAUUUUGUAAUAGUGCAUUUGAUUGUAAAAUCGUUUUGUUGUGAUUUUAUAGACUAAGUUCUCAGGUGAUAGAUCUAGUCUUCAAGGUACAAGAGUAACUAAGGAUUUUAAACCGGGAUGUGUUAGAAUUAUGUUCAAUGGUUGUAAUUGUUGAAAAAUAAUGGAUUCUUCUCACUGAAUUAGGCAUAGUAGGCAUAGAGAAAUUGAAUUGCAUCAACAACCUUGUUAUCCUCUAUUUUAAUUUUGGUAUCACAAUGCUUGCAGAAGUACCCACUUCUGCAAUCACUUUUGCUCGUAAUUGCGUAAAUAACAUUGUUAUCCUCUUAUUUUGCCAUUGUUUUUAUAAUUUAAAAACUUAUUUUUAUAACUUUAAAAUGUAAAUUUUAGGAUUUUAGAGCUUUUUGAUGUUUUUAGAUUUUUUAAAAAACUUUUUUAGAAUUAUUGUUUAAAAAAUUUUAAAAGUAUUAAAACAAUAAUUUUAGUUAUAGUUAAGGGGUCAAUUUUGUUAUUAACCCUUUGAAUUAGCGUGUCACAUUAUCCUCUUAACAGAAGUUAAAGGAUGGGUGACCAAAAUUUAACAAUUUAAUAACGUUAGUAACUAUGACAUAAAUUUUGAAAGUUAAGCGACUAAAAUAUAAUUUUAAAUUUUUUUAGGAAUUAUUGUUAAAUUGAAACCAGUAAGCAUCUAUUUUUAUUGUUUUCAGAAGAUAAGAAUAAAUGUGUGUCUUUAUAUUUGGUUUAUUGGCUAUAGGUAUUCACUCUUCACUCUCGUAAGUUUGAGUCGCAAGCGAUUUAUGUCAUAAGUUCCAACAAAAGAUAUAAAAUAAAUGAAAAAGUAUCAAACAAAUCAUAUAAAAACAUGUUUGUAAUUCAUAUAUAUUUUUCAUGAUUAAUUAUGUAUGUGUUUUUAAUUUAAAUUUUAUUAAGCCUUAUUCAUAUUUAUUUCGAUUAUUACUUUAUUCUAAUUAUAAGCGGAUGAAAGUGUAACCCUCUUAUACUUCUAAACCCCUAAGCAUGUUUUCAUUUAAGAAACCACCUUCCAUAAAUAAAAAGAAGAGAAGAAGAUGAAGAUUGAUUGGUUAUUGAGCCACUAAAAGAGGCGGCGGAGGAGGGGUCGCCUAAAAUUGGAAAUUUGUAUUUUUUUUAUAAUAAAAUGAUUCUCCUUUGAAUAUUCCAAGCUGUCCAUUAGUUUGAAUGGUAAAGUCUAUAUGAAGUAUGGAUAGUAAUGUCUAUGGAUAUUAUUCCAAAUCAUCAGCUUUAUCCACCAACAUAGUUGAGCUAUUGACACGUGUCUAUUUAUUUGCUUUUUUAGGUUUUUUAGGAAUUAUUGUUAAAUUGAAACCAGUAAGCAUCUAUUUUUAUUGUUUUCAGAAGAUGAAAAUAAAUGUGUGUCUUUAUAUUUGGUUUAUUGGCUAUGGGUACUCACUAUUCACUCUCGUAAGUUUGAGUCGCAAGCUUUGUACUUGAUUUAUGUCAUAAGUUCCAACAAAAGAUAUAAAAUAAAUGAAAAAGUAUGAAACAAAUCAUAUAAUUCAUAUAUAUUUUUCACGAUUCAUUAUGCAAGUGUUUUUAAUUUAAAUUUUAUUAACCCUUAUUCAUAUUUAUUCUAAUAUAGAGUUGAAUAUAUUUCGAUUAUUACUUUAUUUUAAUUAUAAGCGGAUGAAAGUGUAACCCUCUUAUACUUCUAAACCCCUAACCAUGUUUAAUUGAUAUGGUUUCAUUUAAGAAACCACCUUCCAUAAAUAGAUGAAGAUUGAUUGGUUAUUGAGCCACUAAAAGAGGCGGCGGAGGAGGGGUCGCCUAAAAUUGGAAAUUUGUAUUUUUCUUAUAAUAAAAUGAUUCUCCUUUGAAUAUUCCAAGCUGUCCAUUAGUUUGACUAGUAAAGUCUAUAUGAAGUAUGGAUAGUAAUGUCUAUGGAUAUUAUUCCAAAUCAUCAACUUUAUCCACCAACAUAGUUGAGCUAUUGACACGUGUCUAUUUAUUUGCUUAAAUCGAGCCAAUGGUUUUGGAAUACUUUCUAUGGGAAUGGGUAUAUCCUUUUUUUUGGGGUCAAAUAAAUCUGAAUUACUAUUUUGGUACAAAAUAAUUGAUAAAAAAUUUAUAAUUUAAAAAAAGAAAAGAAAAGAAGUAACAAAUGUUAUAAAUGUUCCAUAUCUUCAAUUAUUUACCUCAAAAUUUGUUUUAUGAUCAAUUUUUUUAAAAUUAAAUAAGAUUGAUUAAAAAUAUUCACCAUAUAAUUCAAAAUUUUAAACAUUUUAUUUUCAAACUCGUAUUCCUUAAUAAAUAAUAUAUUUUAAACUAUCUUGUUAAUACUAAUUUCUUGAUAAAUAUGUUUUUAAAUUAAUUACUUUUUUUCUAAGAUUAUCUUAAAAUUUUUAAAGUUUUAGUUGUUUGUUUUUGANNNNNNNNNNNNNNNNNNNNNNNNNNNNNNNNNNNNNNNNNNNNNNNNNNNNNNNNNNNNNNNNNNNNNNNNNNNNNNNNNNNNNNNNNNNNNNNNNNNNUUAAAUUCCACAAGCAAGAUUAAGGUUGCCUGUAAAAUAAAAAAAAUAUUUUUAAAAAGAGACAUUGACCAUUUUUAGGUUGCUUGUGAUGAAAAUGAAUCCCCACCGCCGUUUUUUUAAAUUAAGUGUAUAGUCGGUUUGUUGACUCCUAUUUUUUAGCAAGACUGUUAGACAAAUAAGUUUGUCUAAUCUUUAUGGGGUUAUUCUAUUUUCAUUAGUCUGUUAGUGGAGGAUCUUACUUCCACGAUUUAAUUGCAUAAUUGUUGAAGUUAACGAUAGUGAGUUGAUUUUGAUUAUCUUCCUCUCUUGUGUUAAGAAUUCCUUUAAAGUUUGUCAUCAAUGGUAUUAGAGCCAGGUUUAGCGUGUUUUGUAUUAUGUUCCAAAUACGAUGUCACAACAUCCGAGUGAUUACGAUAAAUUUGUUCAACCUGCUCUUCCUUGCUUUGAUGGUCAUUAUAAUCAUUAAUGGGGCAUGUUAAUAGAAAAUUUCUUAAGGUCAAAAGAAUAUUGGUCUGUUGUUGAGGAUGGAAUCCAAGAGCUAGAAGUUGGAACCAGUUUGACAGAUGCACGGAAGAUGGAGACUAAAUUCUUAGAAAUAACAAUAUAUGGACUAAUAUUUAAAUUUGUAAAAAGUACAAGGACUUAUGAUAUAUUUUAACAUUUUAUUAUGUUUAUACUAUAAUUUAAUUUGAAUAUUUGUUAAUGCCAAAAUGAUAAUAAUAACAUGACAUAAUAAUGAUAAUGAUGAUGAUGUGUGAAAAUAAAAAUACUUCACAUUUAAAUUGAUUAUAAUUUAAAUUUAUAUAUUUCGUAUAUCAUAAUAUUAAUGAAUUUGAGUUUAUAUAUUCUAUAUAUUAUAAUAUUAACAAAUUUGAGUUUUUUAGUAUUUCUUAUUCAUUUAGUUUUAAUUUUGGAAGUGAUAAUUUUGGAAGUGAUUUCAGUGAUGGUUUUGACCUCGUCCUCUCCAGUUUAGUGGAUAUUCGAUUCUUUUGCCGAUUUUAUCUACUACUUUAGAUCAUCCGAGAUUAAUUUUCUCAUAGUGUUAAAUGUUUGCAAUCACUCCAAAUAACCAUACUUGAGUUGUAAUGGAGACGAUUGCUAACUUGCUAUAUAUUAUCGAUUUUAUAGCAUAAUAUUUAAAAGUAAUUUUUUUCCGCCAUACUAAAAAUUUUAAAUAUUUUAAGAGUACAAUUUUUAAAAGCGAAGCUGGUCAACUUGCCCUAAAGCAAAUGGCGAAAAUGCGUCGAAAUUAUAUUGAAGUGAGAAAUGGGGAGUGGGAGUCAAGAUAUUGAUGUCUGUAAUAGGCGGCCAUCGAUUCAUAUCCGUCGUUAGAUAUAAAUAUAUUAAUCAUUUUUUAAAAUAUUCGAUAUUUUUAUGCAAUAUAAAUAUACCCUUGAGGGAUUAGUUUAGUGUCAGAUUGAGCUAAAUCAGUAAGGAUAGUCAUUUUGCAACUCUCCUAAUUUCUUCAUCAUUUAAAGAAGGAAACAAAAGCAUGGAUCCAAGCUUAUUGAGAGACAUAGCUGGAACAGGAGAUACUGAUGCCUUGUACGCUCUAAUUCGAAAGGAUCCGAACAUGUUGGAGCAUAUUGAUCAGAUUCCUUUCAUCGAUACUCCACUUCACAUAGCAGCAAAUGAAGGCCAAAUUAAGUUUGCAAUGGAGAUGAUAAACUUGAAGCCUUCGUUUGGUCGGAAGCUAAACCAAGACGGGUUUAGCCCCAUGCACUUGGCCUUCAAAAUGGGGCAUACCAAGCUAGUGCUUCGACUGUUGCAGACCGAUAAAGACCUGGUUCGCGUCAAAGGAAGGGAAGGGAUGACCCCUUUCCAUUGUGCAGCUGCAGCGGGGAACUCUAAUCUUUUAUUCCAGUUCCUUGAAACUUGCCCUGAAUGCGUUGAGGAUGUCACGGUUCGCAACGAGACUGCAUUACAUCUUGCUCUGAAAAACGACCACACCGACGCUUUUAAUUUCUUACUUGGAUGGCUUCGAAAGAACCGUCGUGGAGGAGGCAAGGAUUUGGAAAGAAAGGUUAUGAAUUGGAGAGAUGAUGAUGACAACACUGCGUUGCACAUUGCAGCUACAAAGCAACAACACCAGGUAUAGAUGCAUUAUAAUGAUAAGUUGCGUAUAUUCCUUUGAUAAUCUUACUAAUGACUGUUUAUAAUAUUCUACGCAGGCAGUACAACUGUUGUUGGAUUCCUUUUAUGGGUUAGAUGUAAAAGCUAAGAACUCGGAAGGCUUGACAGCUCGAGAAAUCAUAGAAAAAGUUGGAAGACAAGGGUUGAACAUGAGUAGCGCCGAAGACGAUGAUAAGACCACCGCCAAGAUUAAGCGCAUUAAGAAAAGAACUAGUCGGUCUGAAAGAGCAUUAGUAAGGUUGAUUCGUACAAAGAAUGGGUUGUCGGAGAACAUGAUCAACGCAACACUGGUGGUAGCGGCGCUGGUCAUAACAGCGAUCUACCAAUCAUCUUUAAGCCCACCGAGAGGUCUUUGGCAAGGUGAUAACACGAGUAACCCCACCACCACCUCAAACCUUACUACUACCACUAAAUUUGGACGCUUUAACGACAUAUACGAUGAAAAACGUUCUAAACAUGUGUUGGGUGAUGAAACAAUGAAACCUGGUACAGCAAUCAUGAAUCCCAACUUGUUUAUGUGGUUUUGGUUAGUCAAUUUUAUAGCAUUUGGGCUUCCGGUUCUUCUAACCGUUUUCCUUCUAUACGAUGUAGCUCAUAUUCUUCUUAUCCCGCUUUAUUUUCUAUCCGUCUCCUACUUUCACUGCAUGACAAUAAUAUCUCCGUCCAUGUUUUGGGCAAACCUCAACUUUGUUGUCAUGUGGACAGCCAUUAUUCUCCCGUCUGUCUUAGGUUUUGGAGGCGUAUGGUUAUGGAAGCGGCUAAAGUACCGGGAAAUGACACAAAUACGCAAACGUGUCCGCAAUGACAAAUAAUAUCGGAAUAAUUCAAUACUUGCGAAUGUCAGUCUAAUUCAUAUAUUAUAUUACGUACUCUUUUCCAUUUUCUCUGUAUUAAUAUCUUUUGUUUUUGAGAAAAAACAAAACACUAUGUAAUCGCUUUGGAUAAAUUUAAUAGGAAUAAAAUUACUUUUCCCGACCGAUAUAUUUGAAGUAUCGUUUGUUCAAAAUCAACUGAUUUCUAAAUGUGUUAAUAAUAUUUUCAAGUUAUUAAUUAAAAAUAUCUUUAACAUAAAGAUAUAUAUGUAAUAUAUAUUUAUUAUAUUAUUACAUAUUUAUUAUUUUGUUUAUAUAAUAAAAGAGUUAUAUAUUGAUUAAAAAGAUGAAUUAAAAAACUAGAAAUUAAUAUAUUUAUUAAUUAAAAAUUAACAUGAAAUAAAAAUACAAAUAUGAGUAGGAGAUGAAUUAAAACCGAGACUCAAAAAUAAAAUUACUAACAUUUAAUUAUUUGACCAAAUAAAUUAAUGUGCCAAGUUAUUAAAGAAAACACAUUUUAUCCUACAAGACACAUUUUACAUUUCUGUCUCCAAUAUUCCUAUAAAUAUUAAAAAAAUCCACUAAAAAGGACAUAUAUUGCUAGUAUACCCUAAACCUAGGAAGGGUGGCUGUGGUGCGCCACGCUUUCUAACGCAAAUAAUAAUAACAUCUAAAUUUCAUGAGAGUUUGGUGUCCCUGUUCUUAAUUCUAAAAAAUAGAAUCUCUCAAAUAAGAAUAAUAAAAUAAAAUAAUCUUAAGUCUCGUAUGCGAAAUUGAGUUUUUGUGUCAAAUUUUUUGUGCAAUUUGUAUAUUCGUUAGUUUCCGACUCAUUGAACAAAUAAUUGUAUUUAUAUAGAAAUGAUAAAUUAAGUAAAAUAUGUCAAUUAAGCAUAUUAUCAUCUAUAUAUUAUAAUAUUAACUAAUUUGACUAUCACUUAAAUAUAUAUUAUCUACUUUAUUUAUCUUUUGAAAUAUAUAUAUAUAUAUGUAUGUAAUACCCAAUUGGUGCCCGGGGCCCAAACUUAAUACAAACCCAAAUACAACACUCAUCCCAAAUACUUUUAAACCCAAAAAAUGGCCCAAAACACAAUAGUUCAACAUUUGCCCAAUACCCAGCCCUAACAAUUUUCAACAAAAGAAACCCUAGGCAACUUUCAUGCCUCAGCGCCGCGGCUGCACACCCCACGUCGUGGUUACCGUCUCACGUCGCAGCAACUCCAGCACGUUCUUCCUGCAGCAAACAACAAAUUACAGCCACGAACAAUAGUAGAAAAAUGUAAGGAAAACUGUGAAAAAGGAGCAGCAGUUUUUUGGCUCUCUUAUUUCGGCGAUUAAAGCCAAAUAGGAAUGGGUAAAAAGGGGGGCAAAAAUAUUGUAUACAGAUAUAUUGGAAAGAAGAAAAAGAAUAAAAAAGCAAUUUUGAAGGUAAUCAGGGGUUCCAUUUUUUUCUUUUUUUUUCUGUCUUGUUUUCUUUAUUUUCUUUCUUGUUCUUUAAAACAAAAAGAAACAAAGAGAAAGAGAGAAGGCUCUUACCAGAAGAGGUGCGCCGUUGACAUUGUUGCUUGAUUUCGGUGUGAGGAGCAAAGGAGAAGAUGAAGCAGCCCUUGUGGCUGCUGUUGCUAAAAAUGAAAUGGGGUUUUAAUUAGGUUUUAAAAUGGGUUUUAAACAUUGAUGGGUUAUUUACGUCUUUAACCCUUUCAUGUUUUCCAUCAUUGCAAAACCAUUGUUUUUUUGUCUUCAAAUUUUUCCAUGACAUAUUAAAUUUGUAUAUAUUUAAAUGUUUUCGUAUGUUACAAUAUUUAUAUGCUUAUACAUUAUAUAUAUAUAUAUUAAAUGGAUUUAAAUACAUAUACAUAUCUUUUAUAUUUACUAUUAUUUUAUUUUCAUAGUUUUAUAUAUGUAUAUAUCUAUACGUUUAUGUUUUAUAAUAUUCAUACAUUUCCCAUAUUUUAUAAUUCAUACAUUUAUAUAUAGUUUUUUAUAAUAUAUAUAUAUAUAUAUAUAUAUAUUAUUCAAAACUGUUAUAAAUACAUUUUUCACAUUCGUUUUAUAUAUACCUACAUAUACAUGCUUUCAAAAUUUAUUAAUAUUUUUUAUAUACUUUUACUUUUAUAAAUACAGGUACAACUUUUAUAUUUUAUUUUCAUAAUUUUUGUAUAAACAUAAUUUAAAUUAAAAUAUUUGUCCCAUAUCGCAUUGACAUUUUUAAUACAUGUUUUAAAUACAUUUUGAUUUUGUCAAAAUAUUAAAAUUAUUUUUAUGAUUCAAAAAUUUUCAAAAUAAAAACAAUAUUCAAAGUUAGGAAUUUUCGAGGAAAAUUGAGCCCUAACGUAUUGGGUUCCGAUUUUCUUUGUUAAUUCCAAAUAACCGAGAAUAUUCGUUAUUUAAAAUAUAAACAAAAAUUAUUUUCGGGAAUUCGAUAUGUUAUGUCCUAAUGCAUUGGGCAUAACAUAUUAUUUUUUUUCUUUUUUUUUUCGAAAUAAAAUUUUUUCUUUAAAAAAAUAAUUAAAAAGAGAUAUUCAAAAUUCGGGGAUUUUGAGAAAUUGUACCCUAACGUAUUGGGUCUCAAUUUCUUCACAUGACUUGAAUAAUUGAUUAUCCUUUUUAGAUUUCAAAAUUUGAGUUUAACAAAAUCUUUUUAAUUUUCGACACUAAGACAUUAAACAAUCAAUUUGGUACCGAUUUUUGGGCGUUACGAGGGUGCUAAUCCUUCCUCGUGCGUAAUUGACUCCCGAACCUCUUUUCUCAAAUUUCGCAGGCCAAAAUUGCUUUUAAGGUGAGCCGAUCACACCUCAAUUAAGGAUCGGUGGUGACUCCAAUUUUUGUUUUUAAAGUCGAGAACUAAAUUUUGUUUUCAAAAAAAUGGUUUCGACAGCUUGGCAACUCCGCUGGGGACUUUAGAGAGUCGAGCCAUAAAUUGAUUAUAUUUGUCUUUGUGUCGAAAAUCAAAAGUUUUUUUUAAAAAAAAAUUCAUGAGUUCCCUUCGCACUCAUUGAUGUUUUAUCAUGGUAUUUUGGCAACUUUGCAUCUGCAUAUUGCAUUACAUAAUCGCUUGAUUAUUCCCUUCUAAGUGGGAGUGAGAAGCUACUCCUUCGUGAGGUUUUCACCUCCGUGCAGGAUAGUGGAUCACUUUCGGGAUACAUCCGUACCUAUGUCUUCAUGAGAUUUUCAUCUCCGUGCAGCCAUAGGGAAAUGUAUCCCCCUGAACUGAAUUCGGUCUGUAUGAGCCUAUAAUGGGUGAGGAUCGAGGAAUCUGCUGGUUCAGGUACCCUUGCCCUAGAAGCCAAACCUCAUAUAGUGAACCUUAGGAACCCACCCUAGGUAGAAUUACUUUGAGCCUCAGUAGACACCUAAUUAGGAGUUUUUACUAUUUAUUGGUUGUAUUGCAUUUAAUUGUUACUGACUUUUUGUGUUUUAUUCUGAUUACAUGGCAUUCCAUUAUAAAGAGGCGUUGUUUCGUAUUCGGUUGCUAGACAGAAAGUUUAUCAUGGGAAAUGAGUUUCUUGAUAAAGUGGAAGAUAAUACGGCUGCCUGAAUAUAUUCCAAGAAACGCAAGAAGGGUGAUGGAAGAAUACAUGACUUUACUUCGUGCCUCAAGGUCAAGUUGAUUAUUCAAGAGUUUCUGACAUUCCAACUGCCUUAAAGAAGCUGAGGAGCAUUACGGGGAUGGAUAGACGUUGGACCAGGAUCAAGCAAAAAGGAGGUAGAGGAGAUACCCCUUUUGAAGAAUUCGCAAGAUUUAUCUUAGCAUCCAGAUGAAGAAGGAGAAUAUGUCUUCUCCUGGAGUAUGAGGGCAAAGACGUAUAUAUAUCCGCUUUAUGUAAAGAAAUUUAUCUUCUAGUAAAGUUCGAACAGUUCCAAAAAGAAAUGCAUGAGCAACUUCAGCAGCAGAUGCAGGAGCAGCUCGAGAAGGUUCAAGAGAAAAUGAUGGAUAAAAUGAUGGAAUCUCAAGGAAGUAUGAUGACAAAGUUAACGCAGUUGUUGACAGAAUGGAAAAAUAAAGGAAAGAGCCCCAUGGCCAAUGUUGAGGAGGAAGGUGAUGACGGACCCUUGUAUCCUCCAGGCUUUAAUCCCCCAGAUGUACAGCCCCAAGUGGAAAUGUACCCUCGUAAAUCUUCUGUUACCAUUAGGCCUCAGCAAUUUCAGGCCGAUGCUUCAAAGGCGAUGAAUUACCAAACUAGAUCAGGCUCUAGCCCUGAGAAUAUCCCCGUCAAUCUUGUAGUCCCUGACUUCGAUGAGGUGGUCGAAAAGGAAAAAGCAAAGGAAGAAUUGCGAAAGCAAUUGGAAGAAAUGUGGAAAUGGGUCGAAGAGAAGUUCAAGGCGAUGGAAAGUACUGAGAGAUAUGGUGGGAUUGAUGCUAAAGAUCUGAGUUUGGUACCAGAUUUGGUGCUACCUCACAAGUUCAAAAUGCCAGAAUUCGAGAAGAAUAAUGGGACCUGUUGCCCUGAGGCCCACAUUACCAUGUUUUGUAGACGAAUGACUGGGUAUGUCAAUAAUGAGCAGUUAUUGAUACACUAUUUUCAGGAUAGCUUCAUGGGAGCAGCGUCUAAAUGGUAUAAUCAAUUGAGCCGUGCUAAGAUUAGUUCCUGGAGGGAUUUGGCACAGGCUUUUAUGAAGCAGUACAGUCAUGUGGCAGAAAUGGUUCUUGACAGAAUUACUUUGCAAAACAUGGAGAAGAAGUCGAAUGAAGGUUUCAGGCAGUACGCUCAGAGAUGGAAGGAGGUUGCAGUUCAGGUCCAACCACCGCUCCUUGCAAGAAAAAUGGUGAUACUCUUUAUAAAUAUGUUGAAGGCCCCAUUCAUCACACAUAUGUUGGGAAGUGCCACAAAAGGCUUUUCUGACAUAGUUAUGAGUGGUGAGAUGAUUGAGAGUGCUAUUAGGAGCGGAAAGAUUGAUGCUGGAAGAAAUAACAGAAAGUAAGCCCCAAAGGAAAAAGAAAAUAAGGUGAACAGCGUGAACACGUACAGCAAAUCGAUUAUGGUGAAUCAGCCAGGAAAGGUGGUUACUAAUCAGCAAGGUUCAUCAAAACAAGAAUCAGGUGUGAAGCCAGGUACUGAGAAGCUCCAGUUCACACCAAUUCUGAUAUCCUAUAAGGAGCUGUAUCAAAGCUUGUUCGAUGCGCAUGUUGUUGCUCCUCAUUACUUAAAACCUCCACAACCUCCGUAUCCUAAGUGGUAUGAUGCGAACGCGCAAUGUGACUACCACGCGGGAAUUACGGGGCACUCAAUAGAGAAUUGCAUUACCUUUAAAAAACUAGUUGAAAAAUUCAUCAACAUGGAUAUUGUCAAGUUGGGUGACUCAUCUAAUGCAGAAAAUCCGCUACCCAAUCAUGAUUGACAAUAAGGUGAAUGCGAUGUAUGAAGAGAUGUGGGGAAGCGUUCACAUCAAUGACAUGUAUGAAGACACAACUGAAGAAAGGGCCUUGUUAGAUGUCUGCCUUUAUAAAUUUGAGAGUGUUCUAAGCAAUUUGGAUUGCGGAAGAGACCCCUGUAGUUUUUAGAGCUUAUUUAGAGUAAUGUUCGGAUCAUUUUUGUUGUUUUUAGCCUAAAAAUAAUAGAAAUUCCUUUGUGAAAUAGGCUCAUGUCUGAACGUCAUUAUUCUAAUGAAAUGCAUCCUUGCGAUUAUUUGUGAACUAAUAUUCUUUCAGUCUGUCUGAAUAGUUAUUCUUUCAUUCUUUUGGAUUUUCUUCCACAUCAUUCAUUCAUUCAUAAUCAUAUUGUACAGAUAGUUCUUCAUAAAUUUAUACAUUCUUUUGUAUAUUCUUUGGUAUUUAUUAUGGGCCCCCAGUUAUCAAUGACAUGAAUGACACUACUACAUGAAAUUAUAUUCUUUAAUUCACAAGGUGAAUAAAUCUACAGUAUCACUUAUACAUAUUAUCCCAAGCUUAGUAGGAUUUUAUAUAACUUUAACUCUUCAUAAUUUCUUUAUUUUCAUUUGCAUUUCUUUACUUUCCACGCUUAUUCCAUAUAUAUGCAUGACACACAAGUCAUAAACAUAUCAUUCAACCAUGGUUACAAGCUAGUGCAUUUAACCAAAGCCUUUUUCGAAUUGAUCACAUGAUAAGGCAUUUCAUAAGAAAUUGCAUAAUUUAAACCUUACCACUUUUUUAUGAGCACUAGUAUAUUUUCACUUAAAUACUUACCAAUUCAAUGCAUUAUAUAAAUAAUAAUUCAACCAAUAGCCUGACACUUGCCUAAGCAUCAAGCAGCAACACCGGUUAGUGUCUUUGCACACAUUACAUAUAAACUCAUCAUGCAUAAUUUUCUUGUAUCAACAUAUUAAAGAUAAUCAUACAUUCACAUGUCAUGAUACAUAUCAUUCUCUUAUCGUUUCUUCAUAGGCAUAUAUCAUUCAUUUCAUUAUUUCGAUAUUUCAUGUACCAUCAUUUUCAUGAAUUUCGCGUACAUACCGAUAAUAGUUCAUUUCAAACUCAUGUUAUCUCACUUCAGAAAUUUGCCCGUUAUAUCAUUUAAAUAUCAAUGGUUACAUUUAUUUCAGAUCAAUACCAAUAAUAAUCUAUAAAUGUUUCAAUUCAAUCACAUAAGUCUUUUACUGUUUCUUUCUAAAUCAAAGAACGACUUACAGAUAUGAGUACAUCGUUCUUUUUAUGCCAUAGUCCAACUAUGGUCUUACACAUGCAUUGCCAUGGCCCUGCCAUGGUCUUUCAUUAGUUAAUAUCAUAUACUAUCACAUUGAGCCAUUAUUUAUCUCAUGAAUAUUUAGUUCAUGCUUUCUAAUCACAUUUUCAUAUUCAAUUCACAUUUUCAAAUUAUAUUCCACAAUCACGUUUCUUUUCAAUGGCUCAACUGAUUCAUUUCGUUCAAUUUAACUUUUCAAUUAAUCAACCCUAUUAACAGACUCGGACUUUGACGGAUACAAGGAUCCAACCCAAACACACCAGUACAACAUAUUGUGCCUAAAACGGUACAUAGUACCUGAUUAGUAAUCAGUAAUGGUAGCAGUAACAGUAACAGUAACAGUAACAAUAUUCAACACACAAAGUGCUGAAUCUAUAACAGUAACGGUAACAGUAUUCGACACACAAAGUGUCGAAUUGGUAACAGUAACAGUAGUCGGCAUAUAAAUGCCUGAUUAGUAAGCCGGCAAAAACUUGUACUCUUCCAUAUCCUAUGGCAUGCCAACUAUAUCUGACUCAGCCCGACUAGUUAAUAGGGUAUUAAAUUCACUUUUCAAUACAAUUUCCAUCUUAAUUCAGUAUCAAUUAUAAUUCCUUAUUUCAAUCAAUUUCACAGUAUUGCAAUAAUUCAUUACUUCAGUAAUUUCACAGUUCAAUGCAGUACACAUAACAGUAUUCAGUAACUUCACAAUUCAAUUCAGUACUCAAAAACAAUAUUUAGUAUUCCAUAAUGCAGUUCAGUAUCAGUCUCACUUUCAAUACCCAAUCAUAAAUUUUCAUUUGAUUCAAUUUCACAUUUCAAUCGAUAUUUCAUUCAAUUUCGAUAAGCAAAUUCACUUCCAACAUCAGUAUCACAUAUCAAUUUCCUCUUUCUCAAUUCAAUUCCAAUAAAAUCCAUAUCAAUCACCAAUUUCAAUAUUCCAGUUCAAUACCACAAUAGUUCAAUAGUUCAAUUCAAACCAUUUCAAUUUCUAUUCAAUAAUCACAUUUCAAUUUCACUUUCUUAAUUCAAUAUUCAUCUCAAUUAGUCACAUAUAAUCACAGUUCAAUCUAAUUUCAUUCAAUUCAAUAUCAAUACUUAAUUUCAAUAAUCAUAUUCACUUGAAAUCAACUCCAUUCAAAACAAUGUUAUCAUACCAAAUUUCUUACCUUAUUUAUUUACCAUGCUUUUCAAUUAAAACACAAUAAUUAAUAAUAAUUAGAUUUUAAAUACAGUAAUACAAACUUAUUAGGCUAAAUUGUAGAAAUACUAAAAAUUUAGGGACAUUUUGGUAAUUUUUCAUUUUCCUCGAAUUUCCACCCAAUCUUGAUCUAAAUCAAUAUUUCAUUCAAUUUAUUAAUUAAAACAAUUCAUUUCAUGCAACUUGGUCUUUUUUGAAUUUUUACAAAAUUACCCUAAAAUUUUACUUUUAUUCAAUUUAGUCCCAGAACCUAAAACAUGUAAAUUAGCUAUUUUUUUUAAAUAAACUCAUAUUAGCUGAAUAUUCACAUAUAUUUUUCCUCCUCCUCCAUUCCAUUCCACAUCCUUGAUAUAUAACACACUCAAUUAUCAUUAUCCAAAAUUUCACUAUUUGCUCAUAUGUAAAUUCAAAGUUGUUUAUUUGAGUCAGAGUCACUAAAUUAUUUAUAACUCGAGGUACAGGACUCAAAAUUAAGAUCUGUUAAUUUUCCCUAAAACUAGACUCACAUAUCUUAUUACCAUAAAAUUUUUAGAAUUUUUGGUUUAGCAAAAUAUUACAUUUUAUUCAUUAAAGUCUCCCCUGUUUCACUGUUCAAUAAUUCCAACCACUCUUCACUAAAAAUUAAUUAUCUCAUAGUACAGAAUUCGUAUAAUGUUCUUGUUUGUUUCUUUUAAAAAUAGACUCAUUCAGGAUUUUAAACAUAUAAAUUUUAGCCCAUAAUUAUUUUUUUAAAAUUUUUUAUGAUUUUCCAAAAUCAGAACAGGGGAGCCCGAAUUCAUUCUGACCUUAUCUCACAAAAUUUAUUAUAUCUCAUGAUUUAAAAUUCCAUUACUUACACCGUUUAUUUUAUAAGAAACUAGACUCAAUAAUAUUUAAUUUCAUAUUUUUUUCAUCUUCUAAUUCGAUUUUCAUGAUUUAUUGUGAUUUUUCAAAGUUAACCUACUGCUGCUGUCCAAAACUGUUUUAGUGCAAGAUGUUGAUUACUAAGUUUAUAAUUCUCUUAUUUCCUUCCUCUAUAAUAUUUCCCAUCACUUUCACUUAUUUCCUUUACUAACAUAACAAGAAUAUAGAGCUUUAUAUAAUGAAACUCUACAUUAACAUUAAUUUCCUACUUUUUCAAUAUUAUCAAACUCAAAAAUAUAUUGAAAUCUUGAUGUUCUUACAUUGUGUUAUUGAUUUCAAUCUUUAACUUGAUUUUCUCUCUCCUACAGCUUCUAUUUCUUGAAUCUAACUUGAUAUUCUAGCUCCCCAUAGUCUCCUUGUUGUCUUUCUCUCUUGAUGGCUAUGGAAAUUCUUUUGAUUUCUAGGUGAAAAUGGUAAAUUUUUUGUGAAAGGACCAAAUUGUAAAGAAAACAAAACUUUCUUUCUUUCUCUCUUCUUCUCACGUUGGAUGCAUGGGAAGAUGAUGAUUUCUUUCAUCCUUUUUAUAUUAAUAAUUUAAUAAUAAAAUAAUACUAAAAAUCUUAAUAAAAUAUUAAUUAAAUAACAUUUAUCUAAUUAAUUAAUUAAAAAUAUCACCAACAUAUCAUUACCUUCUAGAGUUCUCUCUCUAAUUGACCAUUUUGCCCUUCAUAAUAUUUUAAAAUUUCAACCUUGAGUCAUCACUUAAUUUGGUAAAAUUACAAUUUAGUCCCUUAAAAUUCUUCACCUUUUCAAUUUGGUCCUAAAUUUUCUUAAUUUCUAGAUUAUUCCACCCAUAAAAUAUUUGCACUAUUGGUCCUUCAAAUUUUUCAUAUUUACACUUUAUCCCCUCAAAUUUUGAGUAUUUACUUUUGGUCAACAAAACUUUUCUCACUUUUGCGAUUUAAUCCUUUCUUGAAUUAAUAUGUCAUAAUAUACUUCCCAGUGUUGCCAUAACUCAAAAUUUCCCUUUUUGUCACUUUAUUUCCUUAUUUUACUAUAUCAAGAAUAUCUACUUUCUUACUGUAGUAAUUUUCGGGGUAUUACAUAAAACACUUGAAUUAAACUGUAAACAUGUGUGUACCUACCAUGUAUAUAACAUGAAUCUUAUGCAUUAUAAAGCAAAUAGUGUCAAUAAAAUUUAGAAGGGCUAUUUAUUUUAACACAUUAUAUCCAAGCUGUCCACAUAAUAGGUACAUACAUAUUUAUAAUUUAAUCCAAUUGUUUUAAAUAUAUCUCAUGUCAAAUUUGAAUUGACUUUUUAAUGCUCAAACUAAUAGCUACAUUAACGGAAAAACUUAACUAAUACGAUUUUAAUACAUCAAGGGCUCAAUUAAAAUGUCUUGAAAUUUGAAAACCAUUUCAAAAUCAUAAUCAUAAUUUUGAUGUCAUCCGGCGAGUUUAUAAAUUUAGUGUUUGGACAAUUUAUUGUGGAUUUAUAACAACUUAGAUGUUAUUAAUUACAUUUCACGAAUAAUUUUUCUUCAAUUAAAUGUUUUAUAUUGCGUCGAUUGAGUCUUAUCUAGAUUGACAUCGAUAUUAUUGUCAGUACAAGAGAACGUGGAUUCGAGUGCGCUAAAACGUAUUAUCCUCUUAUUUAAAGGUCAGGGAGGGGUUAUGGGUAGUUUUAGGUAUUGUAUAAAAAAGAACAACUAUGAUAAAUAACCUAUAAUGAGACUAAUGUUAAAAAAAAUGGCUUAGAUCACAAAGUAUACUAUAAAUUUUUUUAUUGUGAUGAUAUUAAGAAUAAUAUUUUGGACAAAUCCCUAGAAUUUAUCUUUUUUAUUGAAAAUUAGUAUAAUUUUCGGACCAUUCUUUGCAUUCAGUUACUUAUUUAUUUGUGUUAACUUACAGAGCAAAAAUUUUAAGGUUAAAAUUUAUUUUAAGUCACUAUACACUUCAUAUAUUUGGAAUUUAGUCACCUUACUUUUAUUUUAGGAAUUUAGUCCCUUUAUUUUUUGGACUUAAUUAUUGCUAAAAUUCUUCUAUUAAAUUAUCUGACGUGAAAUUUUAAAUUUUUAAAAAAAUUCACUUAAUAAUAAUGUAACAAUAAAAAUAAUGCUGGAAAUAUAAAUUAGGAUUUUUUUUCUUAAAAACACUCAUUUGAACUUGUCAUGAUAAAAAAUAUAAUUUUUUUUGUUGGAAUAGUGUUCUUAAAAAAAAUUGAUGUUAACAUUUAAUUGAAAAUUAACAAUAUUAACUAUUUAAACUAUUUAAUAAUAUUAUAAAUAUAUAAGAAUGAAAUUAUGUUAUAAAUUAAUUUAAAGAAAUUUUGGUAGGUUCAAACCUUUUAUAUAUAGGUAUAUAAAUUUAAAGAAUGGACUGUCAUGUUGCAUUAUGGUAAUCUUUAAUUCAGCAAAUUACAAAUUAAUAACAAAGUAUUUAAUAUAAUUUUUUGUAUAUUUUCAUUUUUUGCUACUUUUCAUCAUUUUUUAAUAGUUUUUUACAUGCUUUCUAAUUUUUUUUAUGCUUUCACAAUUAAGUUUAGAAAAUAAAAAUAAAUUUUUGGUAUAAAAAAUAUUACUUUUAGGUACUAAGAAAUUUGGUUGAGAUGAACAUACAAAAAUAUUGUUUUUGCAUACUAAUAAAUUUAUUUAUAUACAAGGAUAAAUUAACAAAUAUUGAAAAAUAAAUAAGUAAAUUAAUCAAAUUUUCAAGUUUCAAUUGGUAAUAAAUUGCUAAAUCGAAAAUUUGACACGUAUAAUUUUUAUUAUCAUGAAUUGUUACACGGGCUGUCACAUUAGUGUUUAGUAAAAUUUAGAGAUUUAAGAUCAAAGUGAUACAAAAAUUAAGAGUAAAAGUGAGAAAAUAAAUAAAGGUUAAAUUAAUUAUUAUAAAAAAACAUUAAAAAAAGAAAUCAAUUACAUAGUUGAAUAUAAACAUGAUUAUGACAAGGUUGCCACUACGGAGAAGUCUAUGUAAUUGUCUGAAUUCCUUGUAGUUUGGUGACAUCCAUAAGCGGAUGACUCCGAAAAGUAGGGCAAAGGGGAUAGCAGCGGUUACAUUGGCAAGAAUAUAAUUAACGUCUACCCAAAACGACGAGGGUGAUAUUAUUGUCAUCGAAUAAAAGUAGGAGACGCUCAGAUAAUAAAGCGGGAUCAGGAGUAAACGAGGAACAUUGGAGAGGAGAAAAACUGUUAGAAGAACCGGCAAGCCAUAUGCUAUAAGAUUAUAAACCCAAAACCCAUAAUACAUGUCGGGAUUCAUCACUGUUGUACCGGUUUUCCUUGUUUCUUCACCCAACAGGUGUUUGAAUCUGGAUUUAUUGUAAUUGUCGUCUAAGAUUUGAAGAGUAUUUGAGUUGGUGGUGGGGAUACUGUUAUUAUCACCUUGCCAAACACCUCUCGGUGGGCUUAAAGAUGAUUGGUAAACUGCUGUUAUAACUAGCGUCGCAACCACCAACGUUGCGUUGAUCAUGUCCCCCGACAACCCGUUUCUUGCACGAACCAACAUUGUUAAUCUUCUUUUAUGCCAAUGGGUUCCUUUCUUAAUGUGUUUAAUCUUGGUGGCGGUGGCGUCACUCAUGUUCAAACCUCUUCUUUCGACCUUUUCUAUGAUUUCUCGACUUGUUAAACCAUCUGAGUUCUUAGCUGUUACGUCUAAGUAUUUCCCGACAUAUAAUAACAUUUUUAGUGCCUGCGUAAUUAAUAUAUUAUCACACUAUUAGAUAAAUAUAUCAACAGCUAGCAUAUAUAUAUAUAUAUAUAUAAAGGGAAAUUAGUAUACCUGGUGUUGUUCCUUUAUAGCUGCAAUGUGUAACACAGUGUUGCCAUCAUCAUCUCUCCAAUUGAUAACCUUCUUUUCCAAUUCAUUGGCUCCUCUACGACGAUUACUUUGAAGCCAUCCGGUUAAGAGAUUAAACGCUUCGAGGUGAUCGUUUUUCAAAGCAAGAUGUAACGCAGUCUCGUCUCGAACCGUCACAUCUUCAAUGCAUUCAGGGCAAGCUUCGAGGAAGUGGAAUAAAAGAUUAGAGUUCCCCAUUGCGGCUGCACAAUGGAAAGGAGUCAUCCCUUCCCUUCCUUUGACUCGAACCAGAUCUUUAUCGGUCUUCAAGAGUCGAAGCAGUAGCUCGGUGUGGCGGUUUCUGAAGGCCAAGUGCAUGGGGCUAAAUCCAUCUUGGCUUAGCUUCCUAGCAAACGAAGGCUUCAAGUUCAUCAUCUCCAUUGCCAGCUUAAUUUGGCCUUCAGUUGCAGCUAUGUGAAGUGGAGUAUCAAUGAAAGGAAUGUGGUCAAUGCGCUCCAACAUGUACGGAUCCUUUUGAAUUAAAGCAUAAAAGGCAUCAAUAUUUCCUGUUGCAGCUGCUUCUCUCAAGCUAUCAUUCAUGCUCAUCUCCUUGACUUGUAAAAUAACAUACCACCAAUGAUCCUUAUUUAAAACAUUAUAAAGUACGUCCUAAUUGCUUGACUUUUACGUAAAGAGUGAUUUAAAGAAUAGAAUAAAUUAAAUAUUAAGCAAGGAAUAGAAUAAAUUACUCUUAGAAGUAAAAGUUGUUUGUAUCCACCGCCACAAUUACUCUUCCAUAGUGAGAAAGAGUAGAAUAACACAGGUAAUAGAUUUUAUUCUAUUUUUAUUUUUAGAAAUUUAACUUCUUUAUUUUUUAAAUUUAAUUGUUAUUUUUUUUGUUAUAUUUAGGUUCGUUACAACUCUAAAUUUUUGUUUCAUUGCUACUAAGUGAAUAAUUUUCUUUUUAUUUCAAAAUGUCACGAUAAUGAAUUUAACAGAAAAAAUAUAGUUAGAGUUAACAAUUAGACUUGAAUUUUGAAAUCUAAAAUAUAGAAAGACUAAAUUUUUUAAAAUAAAAAUAGAGGCAUUAAACUAUAAAUAUAUAAAGAUUACAGUGAUUCAGAGCAUAUUUUAACUCAAAUCCAACUCUUUUAUUAUUAUUAUUAUUAUGAAAUUAGAUUUACGUUUCCAAAGAGUGAAUUUGAUAAUUUUAUUAACUAUGCAGGCACUAAAGCUGUUGUUAUAUUCCAAUGUUGGGUUACAUGUAACAGCUAAUAACUCGGAAGGUUUGAUGGCUCGAGAAAUCAUAGAAAAUGUUGAAAGAAAAGGCUUGAGCAUGAGUGGUGAAGAUGAUGACAAGAUUAAGCGCAUUAAAAAAAAACUUGAUACCCUUGAACUGAUAUUAGUAAUGUUAAUUCGUGCAAGGAAUGGAUUGUCGGAGAACAUGAUCAACGCAACGCUGGUGACUGUGGCACUGGUUAUAACAGCAAUCUACCAAUCAUCUUUAAGCCCACCCAGAGGUGUUUGGCAAGUUGAUAACAACAGUAUCCCCACCACCACCUCAAACGUUACUACUACUGCUCUUCAAAUCUUUGACGACAAUUACAAUAACUCCAGAUUCAAACACCUGUUGGGUCAAGAAUCAAGGAAAACAGGUACAACAAUCAUGAAUCCCGACUUGUAUUCAAUGUUUUGGGUUUGUAAUCUCCUGACAUUUGAGCUUCCGCUCCUCUCCAAUGUUCCUUCUUUUCUUCUCAUCCCGCUUUAUUAUCUAAGCGUCUCCUACUUUUACUCGAUGACACUAAUAUCCCCGUCGUCGUUCUGGGAAAACGUCAAUUAUAUUCUCACGUGGUUAGCCAUUCUUUUCCCACUUCGCUUACUUCGCUUAAUCAUACGACCACUUAUGUCACCAGCUUACAAGGAGUACAUACGCUUCCGUAGAGCUAUUCUUAGAGCCAACAAAGUCGGGAUCAUCCGACCCUUGCUAAGGGGUAAUCUAGUUGAUAUUAUAUUAUGUCCUUGAUUUUUUUUAAUUGAACUUCUUUUUCUUUUUGUUUAUGUAAUUGCUUGGGAUAAAUUUAAUAAAUAAAAUUACAUCAAUAGUCUUUUAAUUUUGUUUGUACUUAUGUUUCAAUCACUAAAUUUUUAAAAAUUAUAAAUUUAUUAUUAAUGUGAUCGGAUUGUUUUUAGAAUAACACGGGUUUGAUGUGAAACUUUAAAUAUGUCAUAUAUGUUUAAAAAAAAUUCCUUUCUCUCUUUUUUCGGAUAUUAAAAUAUUUCUUCUUCUCACCUUAUCCUAUCUUCUCUUUUUUCUUUCUCCACCAUUAAUGCUCUCACCACCUUACUAUUGCCAGUACUCACCACUAUCAACAAUUUCACCAUCUCACCACAACCAAACAUGAACCAACAACCGACUUUACCCAUAAUUAUACUCAUAAGGUGUUUUUCUCUUCCCUUUAUGAAUAUAAUUGGUUCGAUUUUUUGGUUCAAAGAAGGUUCAAACAAUCAACACUCAAACAGUCAAUAGACUGUCGGAUAGAUCACGUGCAAAACCAACCUAACCUAUGAGUAUAUCCAGAAGAGAAAAGUUAUACAAGUCCAACCCCCCACAAGUUCCCAGUCGGCUCAUCCCAUUGACCUUUCCACACCUUCGAAUUGAUUGGUGCAAUUGGAAUUGCAUUGCCAAAUGUAACACAUGAAGCUCAAGUGCUGACCAUCUACUAGAGGUGGACCAAGGCCCUCGAAGAGCCACCAACGUUGACAUCGCCUCCAGACUUGAUUGUUAUUAUUAUAUUCUUUUCAAAUUAUUUUAGUUGUUGUUUAGAAUGGAUCGUGACUAAAUUUUAUUAUGUAAAUAAAGUUUUGAAAAUUAUAUUGAACUUAGAAAGAAGUUAAAUUAUUCAAGUGAAAAAACGUUAUUUUGUAAUAGUGCAUUUGAUUGUAAAAUCUUUUUGUUCUAAUUUUAUAGACUAAAUUCUCAGGAGGAUAAUUUAGCAGUGAUAGAUCUAGUCUUCAAGGUACAAGAGUAAAGAUUUUAAACUGGGAUGUGUUAGAAUUAUGUUCAAUGAUUGUAAUUGUUGAAAGAUAGUGGAUUCUCCUCAUUGAAUUAGGCAUGCAUAGAGAAAUUGAAUUACGUAACCAACCUUGUUAUCCUCUAUUUUAAUUUUGGUAUCUCAAUGCUUGCAGGAGUACGCACUUUUGCAAUCAUUUUUGCUCGUAAUUGCAUAAAUAACAUUAAUAUCUUUUUUUUGUCAUUGUUUCUUUUGAAUGGUAUGAUGAAAUAACUUUGUAUAACUUUAAAAUGUAAAUUUGAGGAUUUUAGAUCUUUUUGAUGUUUUUAGAUUUUUUUAAAUUGUUUUUUUAGAGUUAUUGUUUAAAAAUCUUAAAAGUAUUAAAAUAAAUCAUAUAAAAACAUGUUUAUAAUUCAUAUUUUUCACAAUGAACUAAUAAUUUGAUCAUACUUUAUUCUAAUUAUAAGGAUGUGAUUGGACAGCAUAUAAUAAUUAGAUGGAAGUGUAAUUAUUAAUGUAGUAACUAAUAAUGACACCCUCUUAUACUUCUAAAUCCCUAAAUAUUGUUUAAUUGAUAGAGUUUAAUUAUAUCCUAAUUCUUUAUAUUGUUUUUUGUAAUACAAAUUAUAAUUAAAUAACUAAAUACUUUUAAAUUCUAUAAUCAAACCAUCAUAUGAUAUGUUAAUUAAGAAAGUAUUCAACAAUACAAUUAUAAAUAAAAAAAACAUAAAAAAUAUUGUAUACAAUUUUAUCAAAUUGCUGUGGCAUUCUAUAUUUGUUGGGCUAUUUUCUUAGUAACAUUAAGCAUAUACGUAGGUCAUUUGCUAAGUAUAGAUAAUUAAUCAUAAAUAAUAUGUAUCAGAUUUUAAAUUAUUUAAACAAAAUUAGUAAAAUAACAAUAAUUAUAUUUUAAAAAUAUAUGUUAUAAAAUUAAAAUACUAUUAUUAUUGAAUAGAAAAACUUAAACUAGAAUCGUGUACUGGUGUAUUUAGAAAGUCAUGAUAUAAUUAGAUUUAAGCGUAAUUGUCUGUAAUUAGUUGCAUAAUUUCCACAAUUCUCACCCUCUCUAGGAAUUGAAAGAGUGUAAUUGACAACUUGGCUACCAAAAUCUGAAACAACAGUGACAGACCAAAUCCGUUACAGAUGUUGCGACUCCAUCACUGUUUCCAUUUGGUGACGGUUUGUGAUGGAUUUUUGUGACAUCGAUACCCCUCACUAGUAAAGUGUAUCAGUGAGUGUAUGAUGGAAGUAUCAUCACAAUUUUUGCAUAUUAUUUUUGAGUUUGCGAUAGUAUAUAAAAUAUCACCUCGUUCCGUCACAAAUUAUAAAUUCUGUCACUAACCAACCAUAACCUACUACAAAUGGGUUGGAAACCAGCAGAAAGAAAAUUAUAUUUCAUUUUCCAUAAAUAGAUUUAUUUGUUGUUUAUGGAGCCACUAGGAGGGGCGGCGGCGGAGGAGGAGUCGCCUAUUGUAGUUUUUAUAAUAAUUCAACACAUUCAGUCUAAUAAGCAAAAUUAAUAAUAUAAUAAUUUAAAGAAGAGCAAAACAAAAUCCACACCCAAUGAAAAAAAUCGCUUCUUUCUUUCUCCUUCGAAGAUUCCAAGCAAGUAUCCAGACAUUAAAAACAAAAGCCAAUAUAUAAUAAAAACAAAAAGUAUGGAUAUUGCUCCAAGUCAUCAACUUUGAAUAUAAAUCCCAUAAUAUUUACUUUUUUUAGGUAUUUAAAUAUUCUUCCGUUUUUUCAUUUAAAUCGAGCCCAUGGUUUUGGAAUACUUUCAUAUAGCCUUUUUUGGGGGUCAAAUCAAUCUGAAUUACUAUGUUUAUUUUACAAUAUUAUAUUUAUCUCCAAAAUUUUUAAAUACAACGAUUGAAAAAGUGUAGAAAAUAAUUAAUUUAAAAAAAGAAAAAGAAAAGAAGUAGCAAAUGUUGUAAAUGUUCCAUAUCUUCAAUUAUUUACCUGAAAAUUUGAUACCUUAUGUCAACAUUUGUUUUAUGAUCAAUAUAUAUCAAUACUUUUUAAAAUUAAAAUAUUCACCAAAGUGAUAAGAAUAUAUAUAAUCCAAAAUUUUAAACAUUUUUAUUUUCAAACUCAAUAAAUAAUAUAUUUUAAGCUAUUUUGUUAAUACUAAUUUCUUGAUAAAUAUGUUUUUAAAUUAAUUACAUUGAAAUAAUAGUUGGUUUAGUUUUUAAAUUCCACAAGCAAGAUUAAGGUUGCCUGUGAAAUAAAAAAUUAUUUUAAAAAAGAGACAUUUGACAAUUUUUAAGGUUGCUAGUGAUGGAAAAUCAAUCACACCACGUUUUUUUAAUUAAGUGUUAUAGCCAGUUUGUUGACUCCUAUUUUUUAGCAAGACUGUUAGACAAAUAAGUUUGUUUAAUCUUUAUGGGACUAUUCUGUUUUCAUUAGUCUGUUAGUAGAAAAUUUUACUUUCACGAUUUAAUUUCUCUGUAAACCUAUAUAAAGGCAUAAUUGCUGAAGUUAAUGAUAGUGAAUUGAUUUUGAUUAUUUUCCUCUCGUGUUAAUUAUUCCUUUAAAGUUUGUCAUCGGCGAUAUCAGAGCCAGGUUUAGAGUGUUUUGUGUUGUGUUCCAGAUACGAUGUCACAACAUUCGAGUGAAUCCGAUAGAUUUGUUCAACCUACUAUUCCUCGCUUUGAUGGUCAUUAUGAUCAUUGGAGCAUGUUGAUGAAAAAUUUCUUAAGGUCAAAAGAAUAAUGGUCUGUCGUUGAGGAUGGAAUCCAAGAGCUAGAAGUUGGAACCAGUUUGACAGAUACACAGAAGAUGGAGACUAAAUUCCUAGAAAUAAAAAUAUAUGGACUAAUUUUUAAAUUUAUGAAAAGUACAAGGACUUAUGACAUAUUUUAACAAUUUAUUAUGUUUAUACUAUAAUUUAAUUUGAAUAUUUGUUAAUGCCAAAAGGAUAAUAAUAACAUGACAUAUUAAUGAUAAUGAUGAUGAUGUGUGAAAAUAAAAAUACUUCACAUUUAAAUUGAUUAUAAUUAUAAUUUAUAUAUUUUAUAUAUCAUAAUAUUAAUGAAAUUGAGUUUAUAUAUUCUAUAUAUUAUAAUAUUAACAAUUUGAGUUUUUUAGUAUUUCUUAUGCAUUUAGUUUUGCUUUUGGAAGUGGUUUCAGGGAUGGUUUUGACAUCGUCCACUCCAGUUUAGUGGAUGUUCGAUUCUUUUGCCAAUUGUGUCUACUACUUAAGAUCAUCCGAGGUUAAUUUUCUCAUAGUGUUAAAUGUUUGCAAUUGCUCCAAAUAAUCAUACUUGAGUUGUGAUGGAGACGAUUGCUAACUUGCUAUAUAUUAUCGAUUUUAUAGCAUAAUAUUUAAAAGUAAAUUUUUACCGCCAUACUAAAAAUUUUAAAUAUUUUAAGAGUAAAUUUUUUUAAAGCGAAAAUGCUUCGAAAUUAUAUUAAAGUGAGAAAUGGGGAGUGGGAGUCAAGAUAUUGAUGUCUGUAAUAGGCGGCCAUAGAUUCAUAUCCGUCGUUAGAUAUAAAUAUAUUAAUCAUUUUUUAAAAUAUUCGAUAUUUUUAUGCAAUAUAAAUAUACCCUUGAGGGAUUAGUUUAGUGUAAGAUUGAGUUAAAUCAGUUGAGGUUUCAAAUAAGGAUAGUCAGUUUGCAACUCUCCUAAUUUCUUCAUCAUUUAAAGAAAGAAACAAAAGCAUGGAUCCAAGCUUGAGAGAAGUAGCUGGAACAGGAAAUAUUGAUGCCUUGUACUCUCUAAUUGGAGAGGAUCCAUACAUGCUGGAGCAUAUUGAUCAGAUUCCUUUCAUCGAUACUCCACUUCACAUAGCAGCAAAUAAAGGCCAAAUUAAGUUUGCAAUGGAGAUUAUGAACUUGAAGCCUUCGUUUGGUCGGAAGCUAAACCAAGAUGGGUUUAGCCCCAUGCACUUGGCCUUCAAAAUGGGGCAUACCAAGCUAGUGCUUCGACUGUUGAAGACCGAUAAAGACCUGGUUCGCGUCAAAGGAAGGGAAGGGAUGACCCCUUUCCAUUGUGCAGCUGCAGCGGGGAACUCUAAUCUUUUAUUCCAGCUCCUUGAAACUUGCCCUGAAUGCGUUGAGGAUGUCACGGUUCGUGACGAGACUGCAUUACAUCUUGCUCUGAAAAACGACCACACCGACGCUUUUAAUUUCUUACUUGGAUGGCUUCGAAAGAACCGUCGUGGAGGAGGCAAGGAUUUGGAAAGAAAGGUUGUGAAUUGGAGAGAUGAUGAUGACAACACUGCGUUGCACAUUGCAGCUACAAAGCAACAACACCAGGUAUAGAUGCAUUAUAAUGAUAAGUUGCGUAUAUUCCUUUGAUAAUCUUAUUAAUGACUGUUUAUAAUAUUCUACGCAGGCCGUGCAACUGUUGUUGGAUUCCUUUUAUGGGUUAGAUGUAAAAGCUAAGAACUCGGAAGGCUUGACAGCUCGAGAAAUCAUAGAAAAUGUUGGGAGACAAGGGUUGAACAUGAGUAGCGCCGAAGACGAUGAUAGGACCACCGCCAAGAUUAAGCGCAUUAAGAAAAGAACUAGUCGGUCUGAAAGAGCAUUAGUAAAGUUGAUUCGUACAAAGAAUGGGUUGUCGGAGAACAUGAUCAACGCAACACUGGUGGUAGCGGCGCUGGUCAUAACAGCGAUCUACCAAUCAUCUUUAAGCCCACCGAGAGGUCUUUGGCAAGGUGAUAACACUAGUAACCCCACCACCACCUCAAACCUUACUACUACCACUAAAUUUAAACUCUUUAACGACAAUUACGCUGAAAAACUUUCUAAACAUGUGUUGGGUGAAGAAACAAUGAAAACUGGUACGGCAAUCAUGAAUCCCAACUUGUUUUUAGGGUUUUGGUUAUUCAAUUUUAUAGCAUUUGGGCUUCCGGUUCUUCUAACCGUUUUCCUUUUAUACGAUGUAGCUCGUAUUCUUCUUCUCCCGCUUUAUUUUCUAUCCGUCUCCUACUUUAACUGCAUGACAAUAAUAUCUCCGUCCAUGUUUUGGGCAAACCUCAACUUUGUUGUCAUGUGGGCAGCCAUUAUUCUCCCGUCUGUCUUUGUUUUUGGAGGCGUAUGGUUAUGCAUGCUGCCAAAGUACCGGGAAAUCAGACAAAUGCGCAGACGUGUCCGCAAUGACAAUAAUAUCGGAAUAAUUCAGUACUUGCGAAUGUCAGUCUAACUUAUAUAUUAUAUUAUGUACCCUUUUCCAUUUUCUUUGUAUUAAUAUCUUUUCUUAUUGAAAAAAAAAAACACUAUGUAAUUGCUUUGGAUAAAUUUAAUAGAAAUAAGAUUACCUUUCCCGACAGAUAUAUUUGAAGUAUCGUUUGUUCAAAAUCAACUUAUUUCUAAAUGUGUUAAUAUUAUUUUCGAGUUAUUAAUUAAAAAUAUCUUUAACAUAAAGAUAUAUGUAAUAUAUAUAUAUUUUUAUUAUUUUGUUUAUAUAAUAAAAGAGUUAUUGAUUAAAAAGAUGAAUUAAAAAAUUAAAAAAUAAUAUAUUUAUUAAUUAAAAAGUACUAUUUUUUAAAAUAAUAUGAAAUAAAAAUACAAAUAUGAGUAAGAGAUAAAUUAAAACCGAGACUCAAAAAUAAAAUGACUAACAUUUAAUUAUUUGACCAAAUAAAUUAAUGUGUCAAGUUAUUGAAGAAAAUACAUUUUAUCCCCACAUUUCUUUCUCCAAAAUUAAUCUAUUUCUACAAAUAUUAAAAAAAUCAACCUUAACACUAAUUAUUUUCUAAAAAGGACAUACGUUGCGAGUAUGCCUUAAACCUAGGAAGGGUGGCUGUGGUGCGCCACACUUUCUAACGCAAAUAAUAAUAAUAAUAAUAAUAAUAAUAAUACAUUAAUCUAAAUUACAUGAGAGUUUGGUGUCCCCUUUUCUUAAUUCUAAACAAUAAAAUCUCAAAAAUAAGAAUAAUAAAAUAAAAUAAAAUAAUUGUAUUUAUAUAGAAAUGAUAAAUUAAGUAAAAUAAAUAAUAAAAAUAUGUCAAUUAACUAAUUUCACUAUCAUUUAAAUAUAUUUAUCUUUUGAAAAAUACUUUUUCUUUUUUAAACAAAGGGUGGACAUCAUCAAAAAUAACUUAGAAAAGUAGAAAUUGUAGCCGUACUAGAACAUUUUUCAUCUAAACAUCAGAAUAUUAAAAUGCUGAAAAACCUCCAAAUUUACCGUUCUCUACAUCCAUUACUAAUCGUAGACGGUGACAAAGACAUUCGACAGAUGAUAAGCAUAAAAAAAAUACUCUUUUAACUACAAUACUAAAAGCGUCCGCUAACCAUUUUUCAAUUAAGAUAUUAAUCAAGACGGAUUAAUUUAGUGUUAAAUAGAGUAAGUCUAGGGGUGGGUUUGGAUGGGUGAUUGGGUGCGGUGCGGUGCGUUUAGUUUACUUUUUGUCUCACGCUACAGUGUCUAAUCUCACCGCCACCGCUGUUUUUACACUAACCUCAAAUAAACCCACCGCCCAUCCAAACUCACCCUAGACUAAGUCCGUGGAUGAAUUUCCGCAUCUUUUUUUAGGCAUUAAAUUGAGAGCCAAUCAGAGCCUUCCCCUUACUACCAAUCUAUAAAAAAUUGGAUCUUUGGUUUGAUUUUAUCAAUAAAAGAAAUUCCUUCCUCGGUUUCUUAAAUUUGAUAACUUUUAUCAUUAUCAUUAUUUUAUUAUAUAAAAUAAUUUUGUUCACUUUUCAUCAAUAAUGAGAUCAAUUGUUUCGCUAAUAGAAUAGAAAAUAGAUAGUUACUCAAUAUUAUAAUGGUACCAUGUGUUUUUAUGUUUUUAAUUUUUAAUAUAAUUAAUGUUAUAACCCUCCUUAUGAAGCUAGUUAAUGUAAAGGAUAAUAAUUCUAAUUAUCUGUGCUUAAAAUUAAUUCAGUUGUGCUUUCAAUCAAUGUCUGAUUUUGAUAUUGCAAGAGGUGUCCAGCUAUGUGGUGAGAUCUUGAAGGUGUGUCUUUGUAACAACUUGAGAAGCUUUUUGGAUUUUUUUCUUCUUCUUUUAGGUUUAUUAUUAGUAAAUGAUUUUUUGCUGCGAAAAAUUAGCUUAAAAAUAAAAUAUAAAAAUGAUAGGAAAUAUAUGUUAAUUUUAUACAACGACAAUUAAUGACAUUGCAAUAUUACUUAACAACAUGAACAAUCCCCACCAUCGUAUUGUCAUUCCCAAGUAAUGGCGUAUUCUCUUUACUUGGAAAAUAUCCCUCCUAACGCUGGCCGAAAUUGGUUGAAACAUUAUGCAGCUAAUUUGGUAAGAUCAUGGACGUGUUUAUUGCAUCAAAAAGAAAUAGAAGAGGUCGUCGGUUUUGUUUCGUUAGGUAUGGUAGGCUGGAAGAAGCAAAGAGAGCAUUGUGGAGUCUAGAUGGAAGGUGGUUCUCUAAUCAUAGAUUGACGGUCAGUAUGGCGAAGUUUAAACCUAGAGAUGCUUUGUGGAGGAAGGCAAAUGGGAGAGAGGUCAGACAACAUACAUAGAAUAUGGAAAGAAGAUGUGUUGAAGGAAAUACGGGAUCGCAUGUAGAGAAGAAUGCAAGUGAGAUUAUGGCAAAUAAUAAACAACAUGAAGAAAAUGACCCAAUCAAGUUGGACGAGAUGGUGGAAGAUUUAUGAAUUUCCAGAAAAGAUAAGAGAACAAAGUAGUAGAGGGAGCCAUUGAUGGAGAGAACUUGAAGUGGCUUGAAAAAUGUAUUGUGGGUAGAAUGAGAAACAAUGCUACUGUGGGGUUAUGGGGUGAUGCUGGAAUUUAUAAAAUUGGAGUCCAAAGAUCAUCGGGUAAUGAUUGGUAUGAAUUGGAAGCCAAUGAAUGGGGAGAUGUUUUGCAAGUGUUCAGAAAGUUGAACGGUGGACAACGAAGAUGAAAGAUUAAGGUGGUUAUCCUGUUACGAGAUUCCAAUACAUGCUUGGUCUUCGAAGAUUUUGACGUACUGUAUAGGCGGCCACCGAUUUAUAUACCUCGUCAUAUAUAGAUAUAUUAAUCAUUUCUUAAAAUAUUCGAUAUUUAUAUUCAAUAUAAAUCUACCCUUGACGGAUUAAUUAGUUUAGUGUAAGCCUGGUUUAAAUCAGUUGAGGUUUCAAAUAAGGAUAGUCAGUUUGCAACUCUCCUAAUUUUUUCAUCAUUUAAAGAAAGAAACAAAAGCAUGGAUCCAAGCUUGAGAGAAGUAGCUGGAACAGGAGAUACUGAUGCCUUGUACGCUCUAAUUCGAAAGGAUCCGUACAUGUUGGAGCAUAUUGAUCAGAUUCCUUUCAUCGAUACUCCACUUCACAUAGCAGCAAAUGAAGGUCAAAUUAAGUUUGCAAUGGAGAUGAUCAACUUGAAGCCUUCGUUUGGUCGGAAGCUAAACCAAGAUGGGUUUAGCCCCAUGCACUUGGCCCUCAAAAUGGGGCAUACCAAGCUAGUGCUUCGACUGUUGAAGACCGAUAAAGACCUGGUUCGCGUCAAAGGAAGGGAAGGGAUGACCCCUUUCCAUUGUGCAGCUGCAGUGGGGAACUCUAAUCUUUUAUUCCACUUCCUUGAAACUUGCCCUGAAUGCGUUGAGGAUGUCACGGUUCGUAACGAGACUGCAUUACAUCUUGCUCUGAAAAACGACCACACAGACGCUUUUAAUCUCUUACAUGGAUGGCUUCGAAAGAACCGUCGAGGA